UACAUGCAGCUGUAUAUAAGAAGGCGGGGUAGGUAACGAAAAGCUUAGGCCCGGUUAGCCAAUCACAAUGAAGAAUGAGAGACAAAAGACCAAUGAACUUUCCUUCUCAUAGUGAGCAGCCAGAGCCGUAGAAUACUGUUACCUAAGGGCUCUGGGCACCGCCAGGAAAUCUGUUUACCUGAAUACACCCCAACAGGAAAACAGAGAUUUCCCAAAAUCUCCACUUUGGCUGGAGUUUUCAGAAACCUUAAUUUUCGGUGGGCGUGGCCAUCAUUGAUAUGUACAAAAUAAGUGCAA